UACCCGUCGGUUCUCAAUUUAGAUACCCGUUCGGGUAUUUAAUUUGACAAGAACCGUUGGGUUCGGAUCGGUUCGGUUCGAGUUCGGUUCGGUCGGUUCGGUUCGGGAGAUUUGCCCAGCCCUAGACAAACGUACGUGAGCUGCACUUCAGUGGCGGGUUUUUGCGGCUCAAUUAUACGGUUCGAAUAAGUGUGAAGAAGAGUGAAGAUCAAUUUUUUAGGGGCUUUGAGGAACCUAAGAAAAUCACACUUUGGCUGAGACCGAACAGCAACCCGACGAC
rnacentral:lncRNA from 1 species